rnacentral:rRNA from 1 species
UGCCUACGGGAGGCAGCAGUGGGGAAUCUUCCGCAAUGGGCGAAAGCCUGACGGAGCAACGCCGCGUGAUCGAAUGAAGGCCUUCGGGUUGUAAAGAUCUGUUGACAGGGACGAAUAAGCAAUGCGAAUAGUUUUGUGUAUGACGGUACCUGUUUAGAAAGCUCCGGCUAAAUACGUGCCAGCAGCCGCGGUAAUACGUAUGGUGCAAGCGUUAUCCGGAUUUACUGGGUGUAAAGGGAGCGCAGGCGGGGCGGCAAGUCUGAUGUGAAAGCCCGGGGCUCAACCCCGGGACUGCAUUGGGAACU